rnacentral:rRNA from 1 species
GACGAACGCUGGCGGUAUGCUUAACACAUGCAAGUUGAACGAGACGAGAUGGAAGUGCUUGCACGGAAAUCUUAGAAAGUGGCGAACGGGUGAGUAACGCGUGGGUAACCUGCCCUAUGGAAAGGAAUAGCCUCGGGAAACUGGGAGUAAUGCCUUAUAAGAUACAUUUGUCGCAUGGCAGAAGUAUUAAACGCUCCGGUGCCAUAGGAUGGACCCGCGUCCCAUUAGCUAGUUGGUGAGAUAACAGCCCACCAAGGCGACGAUGGGUAACCGGUCUGAGAGGGCGAACGGUCACACUGGAACUGAGACACGGUCCAGACUCCUACGGGAGGCAGCAGUGGGGAAUAUUGCGCAAUGGGGGCAACCCUGACGCAGCAAUACCGCGUGAGUGAAGAAGGUUUUCGGAUCGUAAAGCUCUGUUAUUGGGGAAGAAAAAAGACGGUACCCAAGAAGAAAGUCCCGGCUAACUACGUGCCAGCCGCCGCAGUAACAC